rnacentral:rRNA from 1 species
GGGUUGUGAGGUUAAGCGACUAAGCGUACACGGUGGAUGCCCUGGCAGUCAGAGGCGAUGAAGGACGUAGUGGAAGCGUCUGGAAAGGCGCGCGAUACAGGGUGACAGCCCCGUACACAAAAAUGCACAUAYUGUGAGCUCGAUGAGUAGGGCGGGACACGUGGUAUCCUGUCUGAAUAUGGGGGGACCAUCCUCCAAGGCUAAAUACUCCUGACUGACCGAUAGUGAACCAGUACCGUGAGGGAAAGGCGAAAAGAACCCCGGCGAGGGGAGUGAAAAAGAACCUGAAACCGUGUACGUACAAGCAGUGGGAGCCUCUUUAUGGGGUGACUGCGUACCUUUUGUAUAAUGGGUCAGCGACUUAUAUUCUGUAGCAAGGUUAACCGAAUAGGGGAGCCGAAGGGAAACCGAGUCUUAACUGGGCGUUAAGUUGCAGGGUAUAGACCCGAAACCCGGUGAUCUAGCCAUGGGCAGGUUGAAGGUUGGGUAACACUAACUGGAGGACCGAACCGACUAAUGUUGAAAAAUUAGCGGAUGACUUGUGGCUGGGGGUGAAAGGCCAAUCAAACCGGGAGAUAGCUGGUUCUCCCCGAAAGCUAUUUAGGUAGCGCCUCGUGAAUUCAUCUCCGGGGGUAGAGCACUGUUUCGGCAAGGGGGUCAUCCCGACUUACCAACCCGAUGCAAACUGCGAAUACCGGAGAAUGUUAUCACGGGAGACACACGGCGGGUGCUAACGUCCGUCGUGAAGAGGGAAACAACCCAGACCGCCAGCUAAGGUCCCAAAGUCAUGGUUAAGUGGGAAACGAUGUGGGAAGGCCCAGACAGCCAGGAUGUUGGCUUAGAAGCAGCCAUCAUUUAAAGAAAGCGUAAUAGCUCACUGGUCGAGUCGGCCUGCGCGGAAGAUGUAACGGGGCUAAACCAUGCACCGAAGCUGCGGCAGCGACACUAUGUGUUGUUGGGUAGGGGAGCGUUCUGUAAGCCUGUGAAGGUGUGCUGUGAGGUAUGCUGGAGGUAUCAGAAGUGCGAAUGCUGACAUAAGUAACGAUAAAGCGGGUGAAAAGCCCGCUCGCCGGAAGACCAAGGGUUCCUGUCCAACGUUAAUCGGGGCAGGGUGAGUCGACCCCUAAGGCGAGGCCGAAAGGCGUAGUCGAUGGGAAACAGGUUAAUAUUCCUGUACUUGGUGUUACUGCGAAGGGGGGACGGAGAAGGCUAUGUUGGCCGGGCGACGGUUGUCCCGGUUUAAGCGUGUAGGCUGGUUUUCCAGGCAAAUCCGGAAAAUCAAGGCUGAGGCGUGAUGACGAGGCACUACGGUGCUGAAGCAACAAAUGCCCUGCUUCCAGGAAAAGCCUCUAAGCAUCAGGUAACAUCAAAUCGUACCCCAAACCGACACAGGUGGUCAGGUAGAGAAUACCAAGGCGCUUGAGAGAACUCGGGUGAAGGAACUAGGCAAAAUGGUGCCGUAACUUCGGGAGAAGGCACGCUGAUAUGUAGGUGAAGUCCCUUGCGGAUGGAGCUGAAAUCAGUCGAAGAUACCAGCUGGCUGCAACUGUUUAUUAAAAACACAGCACUGUGCAAACACGAAAGUGGACGUAUACGGUGUGACGCCUGCCCGGUGCCGGAAGGUUAAUUGAUGGGGUUAGCGGUAACGCGAAGCUCUUGAUCGAAGCCCCGGUAAACGGCGGCCGUAACUAUAACGGUCCUAAGGUAGCGAAAUUCCUUGUCGGGUAAGUUCCGACCUGCACGAAUGGCGUAAUGAUGGCCAGGCUGUCUCCACCCGAGACUCAGUGAAAUUGAACUCGCUGUGAAGAUGCAGUGUACCCGCGGCAAGACGGAAAGACCCCGUGAACCUUUACUAUAGCUUGACACUGAACAUUGARCCUUGAUGUGUAGGAUAGGUGGGAGGCUUUGAAGUGUGGACGCCAGUCUGCAUGGAGCCGACCUUGAAAUACCACCCUUUAAUGUUUGAUGUUCUAACGUUGGCCCCURAUCGGGGUUGCGGACAGUGUCUGGUGGGUAGUUUGACUGGGGCGGUCUCCUCCUAAAGAGUAACGGAGGAGCACGAAGGUUGGCUAAUCCUGGUCGGACAUCAGGAGGUUAGUGCAAUGGCAUAAGCCAGCUURACUGCGAGCGUGACGGCGCGAGCAGGUGCGAAAGCAGGUCAUAGUGAUCCGGUGGUUCUGAAUGGAAGGGCCAUCGCUCAACGGAUAAAAGGUACUCCGGGGAUAACAGGCUGAUACCGCCCAAGAGUUCAUAUCGACGGCGGUGUUUGGCACCUCGAUGUCGGCUCAUCACAUCCUGGGGCUGAAGUAGGUCCCAAGGGUAUGGCUGUUCGCCAUUUAAAGUGGUACGCGAGCUGGGUUUAGAACGUCGUGAGACAGUUCGGUCCCUAUCUGCCGUGGGCGCUGGAGAACUGAGGGGGGCUGCUCCUAGUACGAGAGGACCGGAGUGGACGCAUCACUGGUGUUCGGGUUGUCAUGCCAAUGGCACUGCCCGGUAGCUAAAUGCGGAAGAGAUAAGUGCUGAAAGCAUCUAAGCACGAAACUUGCCCCGAGAUGAGUUCUCCCUGACCCUUUAAGGGUCCUGAAGGAACGUUGAAGACGACGACGUUGAUAGGCCGGGUGUGUAAGCGCAGCGAUGCGUUGAGCUAACCGGUACUAAUGAACCGUGAGGCUUAACCUUACAACGCCGAAG